rnacentral:rRNA from 1 species
GAUGAACGCAAGCGAUAGGCCUAACACAUGCAAGUCGAGGGGCAGCAUAGAGUAGCAAUACUUUGAUGGCGACCGGCGCACGGGUGGGUAACACGUAUGCAACCUACCUACAUCAGGGGAAUAACCCGGAGAAAUUCGGACUAAUACCGCAUAAUACAGGGAUGCCGCAUGGCAAUAUUUGUUAAAGAUCUAUCGGAUGUAGAUGGGCAUGCGUUCCAUUAGCUAGUUGGUGAGGUAACGGCUCACCAAGGCAACGAUGGAUAGGGGAACUGAGAGGUUUGUCCCCCACACUGGAACUGAGACACGGACCAGACUCCUACGGGAGGCAGCAGUGAGGAAUAUUGGUCAAUGGACGAGAGUCUGAACCAGCCAAAUCGCGUGAAAGAAGACUGCCCUACGGGUUGUAAACUUCUUUCGUACAGGAAUAAAAGACAUUACGUGUAAUGUAUUGCAUGUACUGUACGAAUAAGCAUCGGCUAACUCCGUGCCAGCCGCCGCGGUAA